rnacentral:piRNA from 1 species
UGUGCAACUUGCUGUCGUUCACCUAUAAAG